UCUUGGUCAUUUAGAGGAAGUAAAAGUCGUAACAAGGUCUCCGUUGGUGAACCAGCGGAGGGAUCAUUACCGAGUUUACAACUCCCAAACCCAAUGUGAACGUUACCAAACUGUUGCCUCGGCGGGAUCUCUGCCCCGGGUGCGUCGCAGCCCCGGACCAAGGCGCCCGCCGGAGGACCAACCAAAACUCUUUUGUAUACCCCCUCGCGGGUUUUUAUAUCUGAGCCAUCUCGGCGCCUCUCGUAGGCGUUUCGAAAAUGAAUCAAAACUUUCAACAACGGAUCUCUUGGUUCUGGCAUCGAUGAAGAACGCAGCGAAAUGCGAUAAGUAAUGUGAAUUGCAGAAUUCAGUGAAUCAUCGAAUCUUUGAACGCACAUUGCGCCCGCCAGUAUUCUGGCGGGCAUGCCUGUCCGAGCGUCAUUUCAACCCUCGAACCCCUCCGGGGGGUCGGCGUUGGGGAUCGGCCCUUUACGGGGCCGGCCCCGAAAUACAGUGGCGGUCUCGCCGCAGCCUCUCCUGCGCAGUAGUUUGCACACUCGCAUCGGGAGCGCGGCGCGUCCAUUGCCGUUAAACACCCAACUUUCUGAAAUGUUGACCUCGGAUCAGGUAGGAAUACCCGCUGAACUUAAGCAUAUCAAUAAGCGGAGG
rnacentral:rRNA from 1 species